rnacentral:rRNA from 1 species
UACAGAGGGUGCAAGCGUUGUUCGGAAUUAUUGGGCGUAAAGCGCGUGUAGGCGGCUUUGCAAGUCGGGUGUGAAAGCCCUCAGCUCAACUGAGGAAGUGCGCCCGAAACUGCAGAGCUUGAGUGCCGGAGAGGGUGGCGGAAUUCCCCAAGUAGAGGUGAAAUUCGUAGAUAUCAAGCGGAACACCGGUGGCGAAGGCGGCCUUCUGGACAGUGACUGACGCUGAGAUGCGAAAGCGUGGGGAGCAAACAGG